GAUGAACGCUGGCGGUAUGCUUAACACAUGCAAGUCGAACGGACUCUUCGGAGUUAGUGGCGGACGGGUGAGUAACGCGUGAGAAUCUGGCUUUGGGUUCGGGACAACCACUGGAAACGGUGGCUAAUACCGGAUGUGCCGAGAGGUAAAAGAGAAAUUGCCUGAAGAUGAGCUCGCGUCUGAUUAGCUAGUUGGUGAGGUAAAGGCUCACCAAGGCAGCGAUCAGUAGCUGGUCUGAGAGGAUGACCAGCCACACGGGGACUGAGACACGGCCCAGACUCAUACGGGAGGCAGCAGUGGGGAAUUUUCCGCAAUGGGCGAAAGCCUGACGGAGCAAUACCGCGUGAGGGAAGCAGGCUCUUGGGUUGUAAACCUCUUUUCUUAGGGAAGAACAAAAUGACGGUACCUAAGGAAUCAGCAUCGGCUAACUCCGUG
rnacentral:rRNA from 1 species